UGAACAUACAUGAUUGUGAACAGCACUGUGACGUUCCCUGCAGUGCACGGUCGCAAGCCAAUCUGGGCGAUUCUAUGGCAGUUUCUCAAUACAAAGUACACAUGUUUUGAUGACAUCACCCUCCCAGGGCACGGAAAGCAUUGUUCCGCAAACAUAGAUGCACAUUUUCCCAUAAGCCCUAUCCGGAAGUGUUGUGGAUUUUUCCGAGCCUGUGGGCCACAGUUUUUCUACAUGAUGGACUAAAAAGUUUGU
rnacentral:lncRNA from 1 species